rnacentral:rRNA from 1 species
AACGAACGCUGGCGGCAUGCCUAACACAUGCAAGUCGAACGAUGCCUUCGGGCAUAGUGGCGCACGGGUGCGUAACGCGUGGGAAUCUGCCUUUCGGUUCGGAAUAACUCAGGGAAACUUGAGCUAAUACCGGAUAACGUCGCAAGACCAAAGAUUUAUCACCGAAAGAUGAGCCCGCGUAGGAUUAGCUAGUUGGUGAGGUAAAGGCUCACCAAGGCGACGAUCCUUAGCUGGUCUGAGAGGAUGAUCAGCCACACUGGGACUGAGACACGGCCCAGACUCCUACGGGGGGCAGCAGUGGGGAAUAUUGGACAAUGGGCGAAAGCCUGAUCCAGCAAUGCCGCGUGAGUGAUGAAGGCCUUAGGGUUGUAAAGCUCUUUUACCCGGGAAGAUAAUGACGGUACCGGGAGAAUAAGCCCCGGCUAACUCCGUG